rnacentral:siRNA from 1 species
AGCUUCAAAACUUGGUUGGCCCAG